rnacentral:rRNA from 1 species
UACAGAGGGUGCAAACGUUGUUCGGAAUCACUGGGCAUAAAGCGUACGUAGGCUGCGCCGUAGGUGUCGGAUGAAAUCCCACGGCUUACCCGUGGAACGGUCCGGCAUACUGCGGUGCUAGAGGAUGGUAGAGGAGAGCGGAACUCUUGGUGGAGCGGUGAAAUGCGUAGAUAUCAAGAGGAACACCGGUGGCGAAGGCGGCUCUCUGGUCCAUGUCUGACGCUGAGGUACGAAAGCUAGGGGAGCAAACGGG